GACGAACGCUGGCGGCGUGCCUAAUACAUGCAAGUAGAACGCUGAAGGAGGAGCUUGCUUCUCUGGAUGAGUUGCGAACGGGUGAGUAACGCGUAGGUAACCUGCCUGGUAGCGGGGGAUAACUAUUGGAAACGAUAGCUAAUACCGCAUAAGAGUAGAUGUCGCAUGACAUUUGCUUAAAAGGUGCAAUUGCAUCACUACCAGAUGGACCUGCGUUGUAUUAGCUAGUUGGUGAGGUAACGGCUCACCAAGGCAACGAUACAUAGCCGACCUGAGAGGGUGAUCGGCCACACUGGGACUGGGACACGGCCCAGACUCCUACGGGAGGCAGCAGUAGGGAAUCUUCGGCAAUGGAUGGAAGUCUGACCGAGCAACGCCGCGUGAGUGAAGAAGGUUUUCGGAUCGUAAAGCUCUGUUGUAAGAGAAGAACGAGUGUGAGAGUGGAAAGUUCACACUGUGACGGUAUCUUACCAGAAAGGGACGGCUAACUACGUG
rnacentral:rRNA from 1 species